rnacentral:rRNA from 1 species
GAUGAACGCUAGCGGCAGGCCUAAUACAUGCAAGUCGGACGGGAUCCAUCGGAGAGCUUGCUCGAAGAUGGUGAGAGUGGCGCACGGGUGCGUAACGCGUGAGCAACCUACCUCUAUCAGGGGGAUAGCCUCUCGAAAGAGAGAUUAACACCGCAUAAUAUAAUCUUCCGGCAUCGUUAGAUUAUUAAAUAUUUAUAGGAUAGAGAUGGGCUCGCGUGACAUUAGCUAGUUGGUAAGGUAACGGCUUACCAAGGCGACGAUGUCUAGGGGCUCUGAGAGGAGAAUCCCCCACACUGGUACUGAGACACGGACCAGACUCCUACGGGAGGCAGCAGUAAGGAAUAUUGGUCAAUGGGCGGAAGCCUGAACCAGCCAUGCCGCGUGCAGGACGACUGCCCUAUGGGUUGUAAACUGCUUUUGUCCAGGAAUAAACCUAAAUACGUGUAUUUAGCUGAAUGUACUGGAAGAAUAAGGAUCGGCUAACUCCGUGCCAGCAGCCGCCGUAAAAC